rnacentral:lncRNA from 1 species
CUGUAAUCCUAGCACUUUGGGAGGCUGAGGUGAGUGGAUCACAAGGUCAGGAGUUCAAGACCAGCCUGGCCAACAUAGUGAAACUCUGUCUCUACUAAAAACACAAAACUUAGCUGGGCAUGGUGGCAGGAACCUGUAAUUUCAGCUACUUGGGAGGCUGAGUCAGAAUUAUUUGAACCUGGGAGACAGAGGUUGCAGUGAGCCAAGAUCACACCAUUGCACACCAGCCUGGGUGACAGGGCAAGACUCCUUCUCCAAAAAAAAAAAAAAAAAAAAAAAAAGUGUUGUGUGAUGCUGAGAUUUAGGGUUCCAUUGAUCCCAUCAGCCAGAUAGUAAACAUGGUACCCAACAGGAAGUUUUGUAGACCUUGCUCUCUCCUUCCCUCUCUUCUUUUGGAGUCCCCAGUGUCUAUAGUUCCAUCUUUAUGUCUGUAUGUACCCAAGAUUUAGCUCCCACCUAUAAGUGAGAGCAUAUGACAUUUCAUUUUCUCUUUCUGAAUUAAUUCACUUAGGAUAAUGACCUCCAGCUGCAUCCAUGUUGCUGCAAAGGACAUGAUUUUAUUCUUUUUUUUUUUUUUUUAAUUUUUUUUAUUUUUUAUUUUUUAUUGGAUUAUAGGUUUUGGGGUACAUGAGCAGAGCAUGCAAGACAGUUUAAUUUUGGUAUUUUUAGUAGAGACAGUUUUCGCCAUGUUAGCCAGGCUGGUCUUGAACUCCUGGCCUCAAGUGAUCUGCCCACCUCGGCCUCCCAAAGUGCUGGGAUUACAGGUAUGAGCCACCAUGCCUAGCUAUUUUUCCAUUGUGUUUUAUUUUCAUACUUGUAAAAGUUUAAAAGACAUUUGGGAGAUAAAGUGAUAAAAGGUGAUAAAAUGCCUGUCCUCUCCUGUUGCCAUCAUUUAAUAAAGGAAACAAAAAAUUAGAAAGGCUCUAACCUCACCAUGAACAGUUCUUCACAAGAAAAGACAGCUGGCACCUACGCUCACAUCUAAAAAUUGAAAAUAAUUCAAUUAUUUGAAAAAGAAGUUAUACAACAUUUUCUCAUUUUGU